GACAAAUUGUCCCUAAAUCCAUUUUUCUCUAAUCUGGUUCUUCCUUCUUCACCGAUCGAUCUUCGAAAAACAUAAAUGUCAUCUAUCGAUCAUAUGCAAUUAUCUGCACUCAACCGAAAAAAACCAUCUGGUUACAGAUUACUUUUUUUACUCGGUAUUGCCUCUCUGCUUUCAGAUCUACACAACUAUGCUUCAUAUUUGUACUUUAUUUUUCAAUUCGUGUGUCUCUGUUAUAUAACCAGUCGAUUUUAGGGUUUUAGGGCUUAUUAUUUUCGUUUCCAUAUUCUUUUGAAGAUGUGUUGUUGUACGCUUUUGUGUUAUGAGAAUUAUACCAAAAUAUUGUGUAUUGGGAUUUUAGAAGUAGAAACCCUAAAUCGUGAUUUCGUAUAGAAAAACCCUAACCGAAACCAUUGUUGCAUCCUCUUUUUGAGAGAAUUUAUUCCAAUCGAUCGAAACAAAGGUUAUCAUGUUGGCAUCUGAAUUUAUCUAGGCUGUGAUUGAUUCCAUGAUUUGUAUGCUCCAUUUCUCGGGUUUGAGGUUGAACUGAAGCGAAGAGAAAGGGAUGGAGAAUAUGGUAAAUGGUGCAUUUGAAUUUAUCUAGGUAAUUUCUCCUCCUUUGUUCUUGGCCACUCUAAAUAUUUUUGUAUGUAUUCAAUAAUUGUUUUGUGCUAUUUGAAGGUUACACCCGUUCUUUUUUAUUUCUUCAUAUCUUCAAAGGUAAACAUUUAGAUGGUAAACAUUUAGAUUUCUGGUAAAACCCUAUCUUUUAGGAGGUUUCAAAUAGUCCCCCUGAAUCCUUUGCCGUAUGUAUUAUGAUUCGAUUCUUAAACGAUUUCAAAAAGAUGUAAGUUCAACAAUGGAAGCCUCAAUGAAAAAUCUCCUUCUCAAGCAAAUCUCCUUCAGAAAUAGAUCAGAGGUCCUUGUUUCUUUCAAUCAAUUCUAAGGUUAUGAAGUCGAUAUACUUUCAUCCGAUUAUGAUUGGUGCUUUUUUUUUCUUAUAGAUCUUUUUAAGCAUCCACCAUUUUUGUUGACAAAAACAAUUGGUUUGAAAGGAGCCUCACAGUUAUUAGACUGCUUAUACGUUAUAGUAUGGUUAUUUUGUUUAUUUUUGUUUUGAAUUUUGAAAUAUGUUUGUAUAAUACUAGGUUGGGAUGCUGAUUUUGUGGAAUUUGAGAUGUUAGGGUUUGUUAAUUGACGAAGCGAAUGGAGAUUGAGCCAACAAUUCCUUCGGAUUUGCAGGCGACAUUAGUAAUACGGUUUUAAAGAAUUAUCUAGAGGGUUUGUCAUACUUGCUAAGGAUUUCUCAGAGAAAGCCUUAUGGAUCAAUGGGUAACGAUGUAAAGAAAACUACUGCAGCAGAUGAAAAGGAAUUUAUUUUGGCAAGUCUGCCCGCUGAUCAAAGGGAAAAAGGGUUGGCAAUCUUUUUUGGAUUGAUACAACUGCUAUAUCCCUGGCUCCCUGCAUACUAUAGGCAAGUAUGACUACUCUGUUAUUUUGUGUUAUGCUGUAAAGAGUAAAGUUAAAGAUUUUGUUAAAUGGAAAUGGGUCAAAGGGGUUGAAGGUCCCUUAGUGGUGUUUCAUACUUUUCUCUAUCGUAAUGCCUUACGAGACGCCAUAUCGUUUUGCAAGUUGUCACCCUCACAACAUCGUCCGGGCUUCCGUGAAUGGGCCGAUUUGGGUUAAUACUCAUCUUGACUGGGUCAGUCUUUCGUAUAGGUGUAAUAAAAAAGGUUAAAAAGGAAACGUGUCAAAGAGGUGACCCAAAGUGUAAUAGACUGAGCUAUUAGUUUUGACGAUGGAUUUAUUAGGUAGUACGGUAAAUGCCAUGAAAAUCUGUCUGAUUAAGGUUUUAAUCUAUAUUUUUCGUUUUUGGAACCUCAGCUAUGGUUUUAUUUUGUGUAAAGAUAAAGGUCUUUUUUGGUUUACACUAAUCUCUUUUAUUUUUUCUUGGUUUUUGAGUUAUUUUAGCGAAGUGGGUUCAUAGACUUUUUGGGGUUUCUAUGUUAUACCUGAUUGUAAUUGUGGUAGCCCUAAUUUGUUGCAUUCGUUGUUUUUUCUUCCUCACUUUAGUUGAUGUAGUCAAAUUAUUGAUAGUGUUUAGGUAUAGUUUGUUAUAUACUUUAUUGAUUGUGGUUGUGCACUUCUGCUACAAUAACUUGGACCUGUGGUUUGUAAUUCUUCAUAAAAGACAUUAAAAAGUAUCUUUUAAUAGGUAAUAUAAUAUACACACACAUAUAUAUAUAUAUUAUAUAUGUAUAUGUAUAAUUGGCAAACCAUUGUUGUAAAUUCAUACUUCGUUCGUGAUGUUAAGCGUUGUCUAUGAUGAUUUAUCUGAAGUGUUUUUUUCCCUUUUGGUGUGGAAAAGAAGGCUCUGUGAAAUGUUGUUUUGCCCUCACAUAGCAACCGGUUAUUACGAAGCUAUGGCAGAUUUUCUUUUUCCCUCGACAGUUUAUAUAUCCAAGGCUAAUUGUUGUUUUGUUAUGGUUUCAGUUGCCUAUUUCGACUAACUUUUGUUUUAUGAACCGAGUAUUUAAGAUUUACUCUAUUAAUUUUCAUUUUGAAGAGGUUAUGGUUUGUUCUAAUUUAAGUGAAUAUGAGAUUUUUACAUGUCUUGGUGAUACUUCUAUGAUGGUCAUGUAAAUGAGUUUGCUUUCACAUUGAAACUGGUUAGUACGAAGCCAUGGCAGAUUUAUCUUUUUUUCUUUGACGAAUUACAUAUUUAAGCAUGAUUAUUGUAUUAUUAUUAUGGUUUCAAUUUUGCCUAUUUCAACGUCCUUUGUGUUGAUUCAAGUGACUCUUUAACCUUUCUGUUUUAACUUUCAUUUUGGAGGGGGUAGGAUGGUGGCUCAUAGUCGUCUAUUUUUAAUUUAUUUAGGCCACCUUUGGAGCUAAUUAAAUUUACAUUUUCAUACAUCCUUUAUGUUUCCAAUUACUCUUAUGAUAAUCUAUAAUUUCUUUUAUCCUUUACUCUAUUAGUAGUAUAUUUGUGGCUGCAGGGACAAGAGAUGUUUCAUUCAUCUUAUAAGGUACACUCUUAACGAAAUUUGUUGUUUUGUCGUCGUAUUUUAAUCAUGGAUACAAAUAAACUAACAAUUAAUGGAACAGUUUUCAUUUUUUUUAUGUAUACAAGUUAUGAUGUCUCUUUUUUGUGUUUUUAUGCAACAUGGAACAAAAUAUGAGUUCGCAAACUGACGACCAGGUGCCUACAGUGAAUGACCUUCUACAAAAGCUCCAAGGUUUGGUUAUCGAGAUCGGUGAAAGGCGAAUACAAAUAAAACGGAGGGUCGACAAGUUGGAAGAGGCAUCACAUAGUAAUCAAAUUGAAAUUUCCAACCUCAUUCGUGAGAAUUGUGAUGCAACUCCUAUGUUCGUAAGAUGGUCAAUUAAUUGGAAGAGACAACUGAAGAACUUUUAAUUUUGUUUAAGUAAUGCUUUGCCUCAAUUGAUAGAAUCUUGGAUUUAAUUUUGAUGUUUUUUUUUUGUUGUUAAAAUUACAAAUGAAUCUCAGACAUUUGCCUCAAUCGAUAGAAUCUUGAAUUUAAUUUUGAUGG